AGACCCAGUGGACGUAAUCGUCGUCCUCCAAAUGAAAAGAAAGGAAACAAGAAGGCCAAACAACCCAGCAGCCGUGCAGUUCGGUAUUUGGCCCGAUCAGCCAUACCGAUCAAUUGAAUAAAGCUGUGGAUGACAUGCUUGCAUGUAUGUCCCAAACAUUAGCCACACAGAAUUCUACGUUUUCUGUAAGAUUAAAUACCUUCCGUACGAAUAUGAAAAUAUCUCCUUGGGCGUUUGUUGCGCUAAAUAAAACAAACACGAUCAAAAUGGCAGCAAAAAUGAUAGAUGAGAAAACCCGCCGAGUAAGAGCUGCCAACGAUUUCAGAAUGAAGCUGCCGAAGUAGAUACCGAAAGUUAUGAAGACGACGAUGAUGCGAUGAAUCCGGAAGAAGAAACGACACUUGACCCCGUAACUGAAAAUUCAAAUGAUAUUGGUGAAUCCUCCACCGUUCCAGAGGAGUUUAUGGCGACUGAAGAGGAUGACGUUGACGACAGUGCAGAGACAGUCACAUAUGUUUCCGUUAACAUCACGCAAUCCAAAAG